UACGUAGGGCGCAAGCGUUGUCCGGAAUUAUUGGGCGUAAAGAGCUCGUAGGCGGUUUGUCGCGUCUGCUGUGAAAACCUAAGGCUCAACCUUGGGCUUGCAGUGGGUACGGGCAGACUAGAGUGCGGUAGGGGUGACUGGAAUUCCUGGUGUAGCGGUGGAAUGCGCAGAUAUCAGGAGGAAUACCCAUAGCGAAGGCAGCUCGCUGGGACGUUACUGACGCUGAGGCGCGAAAGCGUGGGGAGCGAACAGG
rnacentral:rRNA from 1 species